UACGAAGGGGGCUAGCGUUGCUCGGAAUUACUGGGCGUAAAGCGCGCGUAGGUGGCCAUUCAAGUCCGCUGUGAAAGUCAGAGGCUCAACCUUUGAAAGCCGGUGGAUACUGGAUGGCUAGAGUACGGAAGAGGCGAGUGGAAUUCCUGGUGUAGCGGUGGAAUGCGCAGAUAUCAGGAGGAACACCAAUAGCGAAGGCAGCUCGCUGGGACGUUACUGACACUAAGGCGCGAAAGCGUGGGGAGCGAACAGG
rnacentral:rRNA from 1 species